GCGGGUGUGGUGUAUGGUACACGGCUGUCCUCUUUAGGUGCUAAAAAUGGUUGCAGGCAGCAGAACCGGGUUCGAUUCCUGGCAUCCGCA